AGGACGGCUACAAGAACUUGUAUGGAUUCAUUCUGUGAAAUUCCCACUUCUUUAAAAAUUCAAAGGAAAUCUAGUGCUUGUUUGUCAUUGAGCUUUUCCAGUGACAUUUGGAGUGCCUUCCCAGAAGCAAAUUUGCUUUCACGAUGUUUGUUGAUUUUUCUGUCUUUGCAGUUGAUUGGCUGUUUGAUUGAUUGCUCUCUUGGAAGGAGUGACUUCUAGCGAGUGAUGAUCUUGCAGUUGCAAAUUUCAAAGGUUACAUUGGCCACCUGGCUCCCAUUUCUGCUUUCUCCAUACUUGUCAUUUUUUACCAUGUUGUGCUACAAAGCAUCUAAUCAAAUCUCAAUCAAGUGUCUUGUUUACAAAAAUGAGAAUCCCACACUAGAAGCCUGUGAAAAUUAGUUCAUCUCAACACAGUACUUAAAAAAUCUUAAUUGGCCCCAGAUGUUGAAUUAUAAGCCCUGUAUCUUGUAGAAAAAGGAAGAACUAGCUGGGUGUGUGAGAAGUGUCUUUGGUCCCAGCUGCGUAAGAGGCUGAGACAGUCAGAUCACUUGAGGCCGGGAGUUGGAGGCCCGCAAGACCCUGUCUCGGGGGAAAAAAAAAAAGCAAGAAGUUCACACAUACAUUAAAUACCAAAUAUACGGUCUGAGUGAUGCAUCGUCUAAUGAAUUCUCAGGAAAACCCUUCGAGGCACUAAAGCUGAGGCUCAGACGAUAUCUUAUCCAAAUCACACAGCUAUUAAGUUCCAGAUAGAGUUCUGAUUCCACUGGAAUGUACAUUCUUCCCGUCACAAUGAACUUUCUCCUCAUAAGGUAUUCACGGAUAACAAGACACACACAACAGGAAAACCCUUCUGGGAACAACCUCGUAGACAUCAUCUAGUCCUGCCUUCCAGAUGUCCCCAGGACCACGCCUCUGUAUCUCUCAGGGCAGAUGCAGCCCUCGCCCACUCACACAGCCUUCUUUGGUAACCUGGACUGGAAGUUGAACCCAAGGCCUUCCCACUGAGCUAUAUCUCCAGUCCUGUUUUUUUGGAUUGCUUUGUUUUGGGGGAUCAGGAAGUGGGGGGCAGGGUUUUACUAAACUGCUGAGGUACCCAGGCCAGGCCUGACUUUGCAGUGCUCCUGCCUCAACCUCCCAGAGUGCCGGACUGUAUGUGUGCACCACCUCACCCAGCCUGUGUGUUUGCGUGUGUCUGUGUCUGUGUCUCAGAAUUUAAAUAAAUAAAGUAAAAUUGAAAGGGC